rnacentral:misc_RNA from 1 species
GCAACAACUUCCAUGCUUUCAGACCUCUUCAGUUGUGCGGCAAGGCUUGUAUCGCCUUGUCGUAUCGUGGGUUUUCUGUGUUGUAUACCUAAUCAAUGGUAUCGGUUGUGGAUUGAUCAAUGUUUCAUUUCGUCUGUCGUCGCAUUCGCGGCGUGAGACGAACCUCGAUGCGGUCUCUUUGGCCCACCUCGUCGAAGCACAUGCUUUGACGUUGUGGCACAUUGAGCAUUGCUUGGUCUCUUGUAUACGGAACAUAUAGUGGGCAUGGAUCUAACGAUUCUUGUUUGCCCUCAUGUUAGCGUAACGCUUCUCUUACACGACUUGCUCCACGUUUUAGCUCGUACGGACGUGGUGCUAUGUCGAAGAGGAAUGCUACCUGGUUGAUCCUGCCAGUAGUCAUAUGCUUGUCUCAAAGAUUAAGCCAUG